rnacentral:rRNA from 1 species
AAAGAGGGAUUAAACACUCAGGAUGAAUGCUGGCGGCGUGCUCUAAUACAUGCAAGUCGAGCGAACAGACGAGGAGCUUGCUCCUCUGACGUAGCGGCGGACGGGUGAGUAACACGUGGAUAACCUACCUAUAAGACUGGGAUAACUUCGGGAAACCGGAGCUAAUACCGGAUAACAUGUUGAACCGCAUGGUUCAACAGUGAAAGACGGUCUUGCUGUCACUUAUAGAUGGAUCCGCGCCGCAUUAGCUAGUUGGUAAGGUAACGGCUUACCAAGGCAACGAUGCGUAGCCGACCUGAGAGGGUGAUCGGCCACACUGGAACUGAGACACGGUCCAGACUCCUACGGGAGGCAGCAGUAGGGAAUCUUCCGCAAUGGGCGAAAGCCUGACGGAGCAACGCCGCGUGAGUGAAGAAGGUCUUCGGAUCGUAAAACUCUGUUAUUAGGGAAGAACAAAUGUGUAAGUAACUAUGCACGUCUUGACGGUACCUAAUCAGAAAGCCACGGCUAACUACGUGCCAGCAGCCGCGGUAAUACGUAGGUGGCAAGCGUUAUCCGGAAUUAUUGGGCGUAAAGCGCGCGUAGGCGGUUUUUUAAGUCUGAUGUGAAAGCCCACGGCUCAACCGUGGAGGGUCAUUGGAAACUGGAAAACUUGAGUGCAGAAGAGGAAAGUGGAAUUCCAUGUGUAGCGGUGAAAUGCGCAGAGAUAUGGAGGAACACCAGUGGCGAAGGCGACUUUCUGGUCUGUAACUGACGCUGAUGUGCGAAAGCGUGGGGAUCAAACAGGAUUAGAUACCCUGGUAGUCCACGCCGUAAACGAUGAGUGCUAAGUGUUAGGGGGUUUCCGCCCCUUAGUGCUGCAGCUAACGCAUUAAGCACUCCGCCUGGAGACACCGACUUGG